GUUCUUUCUUAUUCUCAAUGAUCUCAAUAGCCGAAUUAGGGUUUGUUCUUCUGCCGCCUAAUUGCGUAAUUCAAUUAUCUCUAAGAUAAGAUGCGGUGACGAGAAAUCGAGAAAAUUCAUUUGAUUUACAUGAUUAUGUAUUUACUUUAUGGUUUUUCUGGAUCUUAUAUUGGCGAAGGUCCCAGCAGGGAGGUGAGAACUCUUGAUAAAUUGAGACCUCUCUAACACAAAUCAAACCCUUCGCAAAUUUAUUGCCGAAUAAACAGAUGCCCAGAUGCUUAUUAUUUGGAUCAUCUUCGAACCCUCGGCUACACUUUAAUGAACUUUUGUUCAAAUUUAGAAAAUGAAUUUUGUUCAAAUUUAGAAAAUGAAUUUUGUACUAUUGUUUUGUAAUAUCGUAAUCAAGAAAGGAGAGGGUGAGCCGUGAACGAGAAAUGAAUGGUUCAUUGCUGAAGAUAACUAAGGGCCGACGAGCUGUGAGGAGCAAGAUUAAAAUGGACUAUUGAACCAGAAUGUUGUAAUGACCCAACUAGCAAAAGAAGUUUCAAUCUACUAAAAAGAUGACAAUUUUCUUGAUGAAAUACGCUGAUUGUUAUUCAUUCGGUCUAAAAAGAUAACAAUUUUCAUGGGGAAAUACCCCAUCUAUAUUCAUCAAUUACAAAUUGUUCCCAAAAUUUUAUUAAAAAACAACAAACUCUCAUUUAAGAUAGCAAAAAAAUGAGUACACAACUCAUAGUAGGAACUAGGAAGGACUGUUGUAAUUUGCAAGAGCACUCUUGCAAACAUAGAAACUAUUCUCCAUUUCAUAAAAAGUUUAAACUAGAAAUGUUCUUAAGAACAAAGAAAAUUAAGGACUUGGUUAGUUGCAUAGCUUCAGCUUUGUAAAGGUAAUUGCCUUCGAAAGUUUGCUGGAGCUUCAUUUAACAGAACUAUUUCAGUUUUCCAGUGUACUUCGAUUUUAAAAUGGUGGAGCUUGUGGAACUCUUCGCCAAUCAAACAUGUUUUGAAUGACAGAUGGACUCCUGGUGUGUUAUCAUUACAUGUUGAUUUACAUGAUGUAUUUGUCAUUCUUCCUUCCUUGGUAAUUGGUACUUGGUCGCGUGUUGCUGAUAAAUUCAUGGAAAUUUGUUUUCAUCUGUUCAUCAUAAAAUAUUGCCUUAAUGAUCUCAUGUUUCUUGGGCUCUAAGAAGAGCCUACUUAUGGUUUUUGGUGUAGGACAGUAGGAGGUAAUUUUGCUUCAGUAAGUGGCUUUGUGGUUGAUGCUUGAUCUUUUAUUAUCAACAACUUGUUUUGUUUUUAUUACUUUGACUGUAAAUUUUGUUAGAAAAUUUUGUUUCGUUCUCAUUAAAAGGAUUUGAUUAGCAUACGGAGGUCUAGAAGGUUUACGUUUUAUGUUUAACAUUAUCAUGAAAAGUUGGGGGAUUGUGAAUUAUGAUUGAUUCGAGAUCAGUGAAAAAAUAGUUUAAGGCGCGUGACUGAGAGCUUUGAUGUAUGGGGACUGGGAGGGUAUUCUGAUCGUUAAUAUUAAGAUACCCCUUUUUGGCUAUAGAAGAAAAUUAUUUGGUUCUACUGAAUGUAGCGGAGCUGCCAUGCAAGUGUAAUAUAUUCAAGGGAAGUGUUGCUUAACUUGGAAGGAGAUUGGGCUACGGGAGACCAGAAUUGUUGAGGGUACAUGUGAGAUUGGGCUUGUCAGCACUUAGCAAUCAAUUAAGUGCUUUAAUUUACUGCAUCAUCAAAAUUGUACCAGUUUUGAGAACACACACACACAUCUCCGGGUGUGUUGUCUUUGUUUUUGGUAGUAGUGGUGGUUAAAAAUGGCAAGAAAAACUUCUAUUUGCCUGAGCCAGAAUCUUUGAACUGAAAACUUUGUUCUUCGGGGUGCAUGUGUUUCUUUGCUGUUUAUUUUCCGCAAGUGAGCUAGCCUAUGUUUUGGGUUUUGACAGAUAGCAUUAUUGCUUUGUUUACUCUGAUGAUGUCUAGCUGUCUGAGUUGAAUUUCUGCUCAUUUUGCUUUCUCAUUCUGAAAAUGCAUAGUUAGUAAGGGAUGUUCACGAGUCAUGACCUGUUCGGUGCUAGGGUAUGAUAUUUUUUGCUCAAAUGACUGAAAUGAAAUGGAAUCAUCUUCAAUUUAACAUCUCUGUUUAACAGGCUCAAUAGCAAUUGUAGCAUACUUGUGUUUUGUUUGAAUUGGCUUUUGGGGAAUCGAUAAGUUUUGCAUAUUGUUAUGGAAUCCUGGUCAAAUUCCAUUACCCUAAUUCCUCUGAUUGGCUCCAACCUAGUGUUUUGAAUGUUGGAUGUAACCUUACACUUAGUAAAAAAGAGGUUAUUUAGGGAGCCUUUUUAAAUUUUAUGCGUCUAAUAUUUUAUAUUCGUUUUGCUUGCCAAGUGUUCUUGUAUUUGAUUUAUGGAACAAUUAAUUGUAAAUUUAAGCCCUUGAUUAAUGUUUGAUCAAUGAACUCAAGUACUGGUAGAGGUCUUGUUGUUAAUGCUUUGUCAAAGUUGUGCUGAAUGAUCUCUAAAGAAGAUGAUUCCUACAAAAAGCAACAAGUGAUGUGUCAAUUCUUCAUUUAUUCUAGGGAUAUUACUACCGAAGGAGAUUACUACUGUAGAUCAUAUGGUCUUUGAUUUUGUGAUGGGGGGAGAUAUCCUAGGGAUAUUCUGUGAUAUAUGGAUUUAAAGGGUAUGUUAUUUGUUUUACUACUAGUUAGUUAUAGAGCUUAUUAGUAUAAAUAAGGUAGAGGUAACUGGGAAAUGUAUGAGGAAAUUGUACUGGACUUAUAUGGUCUCUUGAAUCCUUGUUUUCAAUCUUACUAUUUGUAAUUUUGAAUUCAACAAUAUACACCCUUUUACAUGCUCA